ensembl:snoRNA
AAUAACAAAAAUGCAUGUACUAGUCUUUUCAAUGGUAUGAGCAGUUAUACCCAUGGGAUAAAAUAACAUUAGACCAUUGUCAAUUGAGAUGGAGUAACCAUUUCAUCUCUUCUGCAUGCAUGGUCUAGACAAAA